CACUCUCAAGUUCAACAAAUGGCCACAGAGGGCGAAAAAAUCGACCGCGCGGCGCUGCUAAAGAAACAGGCAUAGUACACCAAUUAAAAAGGUUCCCCGUUGAGCACAUUAUCUCCCGCUAGAGGCGCCGUAGUAAGCGCAAUUUUAACCUACAAACUUUCUUCAACAGUAAACGAAGCGUUUUUAUUGCAUGAUAAAGACUACAAAAUUAUAAUUCCUAAUUUUACAUUGUACUUUUCAUUACCAACUUUGUUGUUUUUUGUCAUUUUAAACGCAAAAUAGCGUUCAGCAUCAUCGACCUCCCACGUGACCUCUGGCCUGAAUUUAAAAUUUUUACCGGUAUGUUCGCGUGCGCGGCAGGUACGGAUUCCUUGGUUUGUACAUUGGUUGGUUAUUUUGUGCUAACACCAGUUUACUGCGCUUCGAUGUCUCGCGUUAUUUAAUUUGGGGUGUAAGCCUGAAAGCUAGGUUUCAGUCGUGAGCCAUGUGGAACACGUCUGCAUCGAAAUGGGAGCCGGGUCCUGCUGCAACUGGGGACAGCAAUACCGACAUGCAGUAAUGAGGAUGGCACCAGUAUAAAGCAACACACUCCAUGCACUAAACAGAAGCUGCUGCCUGCUACAACAAGGUCAUUGUGUGGACUUUGGCUGCUACUACAAGAGUCUGUUCCAAGUACAUCUUGGUCAUCACGGGAGCCCCCAUCUACGCCAACAGGAAGGGGCUGGCGCUGAAUUCGCAAGACCACAAACAAAGAAGCCAUUCCAGAAUUAUUUGGAUGAGAUAUCAAGUCUACGGACGACUGUUUCAAGAGUGAAAAGAGCCUACGCCAUCAUUCCACCAGCACGGAUAUUGGCCGAGUCAUCCAGGUACCUCAACAACAAAAAUUAUUUGUCUUCAGAUGUACCUGCAACCUCUGAAUAAGCACAGAUGACGCUGGCUAAGAGUGUUCUGUCAGCUUGCCCUUCCUUAGUGAGCUUCCUGGCCUUGCCAGUUCUUGCCAAGUAUAAUUUUGUUUCAAUGAGUGCAAGCUUUUUCAUUCCACACUUUUGUUAGAGAUCAUUCCUAUUCCUCAUACAAACAAUAAAGGUCAACCGAUUCUUUGCUCAUACUUAAUGCCAGUCACUGUCUAGUAGCAUAACAUAUGUGUACCAGUUCUUUCUAGUGUAUGUUGCCAUGUGCAAUUCCUCUCCUGAAAUAGCUGAUGCAGCAUUGGCGUGUGUCUUGCAUUAACCUUUACACUGUGUGCUAUGUAGCAUUUAACUUUUGUUAAUGUUUUUGGCUUUCAAUGCUUGCAAGGUAGAGUGGCUUCUUUCUUGAAUGCAAGCUUUCUCAUUCCCAUAUUGAAUUCCUAGUCUCAUUCAGGAUUGCUAUUCUUGCUCGACAGCCUGUGUUUCUGUGAAAGCUACAUUGAAGUGAUUGAUUGCAGAAUCUGGUUUCGGCGCUGUCCGACUUGGUACUUGUCACCGUGUUACAUUUCUCAUAUGUGGGAGCCUGGUCAGUUGCAUUGGGAAACAGUCUCUCGAGGCAAGCACCUACAGUCCGCACAGUGACAUAGACUGCGAAUUUAUACACGCACACCGUGGUUGGUGCUCCGCGUUCCGUCCUUUCCUGCUGCUGCCGUGUGCAAAUUUUGCUUGCGGUCUUCCUCGGCCAUGAUUUGGCGUCAACGGAGACUCUCAUACAUAAUUACAUGGUUCUAAGUGUAUGAAGUUGAUAUCCACAUGUGUGGAAAGGCCUGCAAAAGUGACUGCAACAUAGUGAUGUUCACAAAACCGACCAUGCCCAUAUAUAGAGAAUGUGGGGGACCAAGUGUGAGUUACACAUUAGUGGCAUGCAAAAGAACAAAAAGAAACAUGCAGGUUGGAAAGGCGGUAACGCUAAAAUGCCGGGCACUCCAUGUCGCUGUUGGCUGUGGCAGCAGAUGCUUGCGUCACCCGAUUGCUUCGCAAUGCAAGCUGCUCAUAUUCAACGCCGACUGUCGGUGCAAACAUGUGGGACACACUGUCCAAUCUGCUUGUGCUGCUGGUUGUUGCUUGUUACCAGACUGCAGUGUGCGACGAAGGCAAGCACUAUGCCUACAGUCGGACGGUUGAAUGUGCUGCAAGCAACCCGUGUGCGUGUAUGCUCACUGUUGUCAUGUAGAUCGUAGCCAAUGCAUAGUGCCAAUGUAUAGAUUGAGCAUUAUGUUAGAGUAGGCUGAAGUGAUUUGAUUGCAUAAUCUUGUUUCAAUGUUGUCCCACUUGGUCAUGGUUGCCGUGUUACAUUUCUGGGAUGUGGCAGCCUGUUCAGUUGUAUUGGCCAAUGGCCUCUCGAGGUAAGCACCUGCUCCUGCAGUCCACACAGUGACACAAACUCCCUGUUUACAUGUAGUGUGAUUGGUGCUCCCUGUUUGUCCUUUCCUGCUGCAGCCGUGGGUAAAGCAUGCUUGUGGCCUUCUUUGGCCAUGAUUUGGCGUGAACAGAGACUAUCAUACAUGAUUACAUGGUUUGAAGUGUAUGAAGUUGAUAUCCACAUGGGUGGAAAGGCCUGUAAAAGUGGCUGCGAAAUGGCGAUUUCCACAAAACAGACCACAUCCAUAUUGAGAGCAGGUGGGGCGCCAAGUGUGAGCAACACAUUAGUGGCCACCGAAAGAACAAAAAUAAACGUGCAUGUAGGAAAGGAGGUAACACUAGGAUGCCGGGUAGUUCAUGUCGCUGUGUUGGCUAUGGCAUCAGGUGCCUGCGUCACCCGAUUGAUUCGCAGUACAAGUUACGGUGACUGUCAGUGUAAACAGGUGGGGCACUGUCCAAUCUGCUUGUGCUGCUGGUUGUCACUCGUUACUAGACCACCAUGUGCCACGUAGGCGAGCACUGUGCCUGAAGUCGGAUAGCUGAAUAAGCUGUAUGCAAUUUGUAGUGCGUGAAUGCCCACUGUUGUCAUAAGGAUCUUAGCCAAUGUACAGUGUAUUGUCUGAACCUUAUGCGGUGAUUGAAUGCAGUCUAAUUUGAUAAUGGUCGCCGUGUUCUGUUUCUUCGAUGUGGCGACCUGGUUAGCUGCAUGGGCAACAGUCUCCCGAGGUAACCAUCUGCUCCUGCAGUCCACACAGCGACAAAGACUCCCAAUUUACAUGCACCGUAAUUGGUGCUCUCCCCAUUCGACGUUUCUUGCUGCAGCCGCCGGCAAAUUAUGCUUGUGGGCCUUCAUCGGCCGUGAUGUGGCGUGAGCGGAGACAGCACACGUUAUUACAUGGUCCGAAGUUGAUAGCCACAUAGGUGGAAAGGCCUGCAAAACUGACUGCAAAAUGGUGAUGCCCACAUUGAAAAUGUGGGGCACCAACUAUGAGUUACACGUUAGCGGCCCCCGAAAGAACAAAAAGAAACGUGCAGGUUGGAUAGGCGGGAACGCUAAAAUGCCGUUUAGUCCAUGUCGCUGUGUUGGUUGCGGCAGCAGAUGCCUUGCGUCACCAGAUUGCUUCGCAAUGUAAGUUACGGCGACUGUGAAAGCAAACAGGUGGUGCACUGCCCGAUUUGCUUGCGCUACUGAUUGUCGCUCGUUACCAAAUCGCCAUGUGCGGCGACGAAAGUGAGCAGUUUACGAGCUCGCGUUAAUGGUUUCAGCGCAUCUCGACAUGCAAAUUUUAUUUCUGAUCUUGUAUGGGAAGGUGCACUGCUUUUCUUCUGCCAAUAAAGUCGCACGUCCUGUUCA